rnacentral:rRNA from 1 species
UACGAAGGGGGCUAGCGUUGUUCGGAAUUACUGGGCGUAAAGGGCGCGUAGGCGGCGUGUCAAGUCAGGCGUGAAAGCCCCGGGCUCAACCUGGGAACCGCGCUUGAGACUGGCAUGCUCGAGUUCGGGAGAGGUGAGUGGAAUUCCCAGUGUAGCGGUGAAAUGCGUAGAUAUUGGGAGGAACACCAGUGGCGAAGGCGGCUCACUGGACCGGUACUGACGCUCAUGCACGAAAGCGUGGGGAGCAAACAGG